UCAAGACACUGUUGUAACAGUGCCUUUCUGCUGUUACAGCAGAGGACCUGGUUGCCGAGGAUACCGUCCCCCGUGCGGCGUGCGCGACCAAGCCGCCAUGGCCGAGCUCUGACACUCGGCGCGUCGAGGCGAUAGGCGUACGGUUUGACAAUUCAGGGCCUGAGCUUGCAUAGUUGCAUUGCAUCCUCUGCUCCGAUGGAAGAAGCUACAAAUGCCGGCCCGAGAAUAUCCCUACGAUUAAUUCCGUCGCGCUCUCCGCCCGCACGCGCGGCGUGGCGCGGCGCGGCGCGGCGGCGUCUCCUACAAAUGGCGAGCGCCCGACGGAGAAGAGAGCUGAGGCUUAUCGAGUCCGAGGCUUCUGAGCCUGCUUGUUGCCGCCGCUACUGGCUGCCGAUCUGCUGCAGUUGGGGGGGUCUCCCAUGGCGGCGGAGGUCGGGAUUGGAAGGGCGACCUGCGCGGCGUGGGCGCGGCGGCGGGGCGGGGGCGGCCCGGCACGCCUCCUCGUCGUGUACGGCCGCGCCUCCACGGCAUCGUCCCCGCCGCGCAUCGACCUCCACGCGUUCGACGCCGGCGCCUCCGCCGUCGCCGCCGACCCCCUGGUGAGCUUCGUGAUGGGACACGAGGAAGACGACGCCCCGCGCGCGAUCGCCGUGCACCCGAGCGGCGACGAGUUCGUCUGCGCCACCGCGAAAGGGUGCAGGUUAUUCAAGCUGGUGACUGAAGAAUCCAGUGUUCACCUUAUUUCAAAGGAUGCUCCAACUCUGCAAUCAAUUGGACCUCAGAAAUGUCUGUCAUUCAGUACAGAUGGUGCGAAGUUUGCUGUUGGUGGUGAGGAUGGGCAUCUUAGAAUAUUUCAUUGGCCAGAUCUGAAUUUGCUUCUGGGUGAACCAAAAGCUCAUAAAUCUUUCAGAGACAUGGACAUUAGCUUAGACUCCGAGUUGUUAGUCUCAACAUCCACUGAUGGUUCUGCAAGAAUAUGGAAUAUAGAUGAGGGAGCGCCGCUUGUCAAUUUGAGUAGAUCUUCGGAUGAGAAGAUUGAGUGCUGCUGCUUUUCUAGGGAUGGAAAUAAACCUUUCCUGUUCUGCACACUUGUGAAAGGUCAUAACGUUGUGACUGUGGUUUUGGACAUAAGUAAUUGGAAGAGGAUCGGGUACAAGAGGCUUUUGGAAAAGCAUAUCUCCACACUUUCAGUAAGCUUGGAUGGAAAGUAUCUCGCAUUAGGAAGCCAUGAUAGUGAUUUCUGCGUUGUGGAUGUUAAAAAGAUGGAAGUUUUGCACUUGAGCAAGAAGGUUCAUCUUGGCUCUCCAAUUUCAUCAAUUGAAUUUUGUCCUACAGAAAGGUAAUUAUAACCAUUGGUCUUUGUUGGAAGAAGUAGUGAGACAAACCGAAAAUCUCUAGCAGUAAAAUAGUUGGCUUCACUAAGCAUCCAAGCACUUAGUAAUGGUCUCUGGUUGUACCAAUGUUGAAAUUUUUAGCAGUAAAUUGUCUUCACUAGUAAUUUGUUCAGUGCUAGAAUUCUUGAAGAUACUCUGAAGAUCCAGCAUUAAGGUAUUAGAUUGCCCACAUGCCUUCUCAACAUGUUAAAAAAUGGAUCACACAACACGAUGGUAGGUAGAUAAGCGAGCUAUGGUAUCAGCAUUAUGCAUGGCUAAUUUGCAUAUACAUGGGGGCAGGAUGGAGCAAGAUUUGUCCUCCACCAGUUCACCUUGCCCCUGAAAUUUAAAAGGAAAUUGUGGAUUGGUUUUACUCUGCAUUUCUGCAGUCUGCACUGCAAUUGCAGAUCCAUAUGUGAAUGAAGAUUUGUCACAUCAACUCUGUUCAUAAGCAAACAUACGGAUGCUUAAUGUUGUUUUCUGAAAUUACUGUACAUUUUGGAUGGCAAUGCUGCAGAUUUUUGAAGUACUGCUGGAUAGUUACAGUAGCAAUUGUCUGCUUGUAUUGCAGGGUUGUAAUCUCCACUUCUCAUAAAUGGGGAGCAGAGUGUGGCAAAUGUGGUUAGUACUCUCGUGUCUGUUUGUCACGUCGGCCAUCCUAUUCUAUGCGUUCUUCAAACACGUGGUCCAUUUGGAACCCUAAAGAACAGAAUCUGGAGGAGAAAAAUCAUAAGUUUCUGACGAUCAGAAAUUCAGAAUCCAUUGUAACACCAGCAUGGCUAACAGCGAUAGCUCCAUUGUCAUGAUGAGCGCUUGCUCUAUUUGCCACUAUUCAUUUCUGAUGACUAUUUGCCAUUAUUCCUUUCUAAUGACUGUUCACCUGUUCCAAUUUCCAACCCUUAAUCCCUGAAAAUAUUGUCAUCAGAGCUUUGUGCCUGAAUUUAUUUCACAAUUUUUUAUCGCUCGAUAAGUCAAUACAUAACAGAACUGUCUCUUUCAUGACGAUGAAUGACUGAAUGUAUCUCCGACCACAAUAAAUCAAAGGCGUUUGGUCUU